rnacentral:misc_RNA from 1 species
GGUAUGUUGCUAUUAUACUUUUUUGGCUUGGCAGAACUCUAGGUUAGGAUUUCUGCUUUUACCUUGCAAUUUUCCUAGGCACUAUUGCAGUAUAUAACAGCGAGACUAAUUUUCUGCAUAUAUAUCUUAUAGGAUUUUUAUUUUUAGUUUUAGCAAUUUCAGUGAGAGAUGGUGAUGAUUUAAAGCAUUGUUCUAUGUAGAAUCUGAAAUAUAUUAA